CAGGACGAACGGCUGGCGGCGUGCCUAAUACAUGCAAGUCGAACGGCUUUUCUAUGGAAGCUUGCUUCCACUGAGAAGAUAGUGGCGAACGGGUGAGUAACACGUGGGUAACCUGCCCAUAAGAGGGGGAGUAACAUCCGGAAACGGGUGCUAAUACCGCAUAGUUUUCUUGAUCGCAUGAUUGAGAAAGGAAAGACGGCCUUUGUGCUGUCGCUUAUGGAUGGACCCGCGGCGUAUUAGUUAGUUGGUGAGGUAACGGCUCACCAAGACGAUGAUACGUAGCCGACCUGAGAGGGUGAUCGGCCACAUUGGGACUGAGACACGGCCCAAACUCCUACGGGAGGCAGCAGUAGGGAAUCUUCCGCAAUGGGCGAAAGUCUGACGGAGCAACGCCGCGUGAGUGAAGAAAGGUUUUCGGAUCGUAAAACUCUGUUGUCAGAGAAGAACAAGUUGGAGAGUAACUGCUCCAGCCUUGACGGUAUCUGACCAGAAAGCCACGGCUAACUACGUGCCAGCCGCAGC
rnacentral:rRNA from 1 species